rnacentral:rRNA from 1 species
UCGCAUCUGUGCAUGCAGCAUAUCAAUAAGCGGAGGAAAAGAAACUAACAAGGAUUCCCCUAGUAACGGCGAGUGAAGCGGGAAGAGCUCAAAUUUGAAAUCUUAAAGGGUUUCCCUUUACGAAUUGUAGUUUAAAGAAGUGUUUUCUGUUGAGGUUUUGGAUAAAAGUUCUUUGGAAUAGGACAUCAUAGAGGGUGAGAAUCCCGUAUUUGACCUUUACUUUCAACUUUGUGAUACACUUUCAAAGAGUCGGAUUGUUUGGGAAUGCAGUCCAAGAUGGGUGGUAAAUUUCAUCUAAAGCUAAAUAUUGGCGAGAGACCGAUAGCGAACAAGUACCGUGAGGGAAAGGAUGAAAAGAACUUUGAAAAGAGAGUUAAACAGUACGUGAAAUUGUCAAAAGGGAAGCGUUUGACACCAGUGUUGUUUUUCUGAAGAUCAAUUAAAGAACUGUUUAUGCUAAGUUGUUUAGACUUUAUCAGCUAACUGUUUAGUUUUGAGCUUUUCUUUAAUGCACUUUUCAGUUAACAAGUCAACGAUCAAUUUCUUUUGCUGUAAAAAAGCUUGAGGAAGGUGGCAUGAGAUUCGUCUUAAGUGUUUAUAGCCUCUUGCCUAUGCAGUCGGAGAGAUUGAGGUCUGCAGCGUAGAUCCUUCGGGGCUAAAUGCAUUUGUGCUAAGUUAUAGCAUUCUAUAGACAACUUGUUGACUAUGAUUUGUCUUGUAGCUUACUCGCUUAUGUUAUUUUACCUACGCUUAGGAUGUUGAACAGCAGUAUAGACUGU